AGGAGUGUUAAACAUGCUGCUCCAAUAUACACAGGCGGAAAAACUCACUUGCAGAUGGAGCUCCUGGCAAGCAGCACCAUCAUCCAUGGAAGCUCCGGAAAGUCUCUAGAGGACUGGGUUUGAUCACCUCGUCUGAUUACAUCUUUGACAGCUUUAAAGGAAUUUGCACAAGGGGAAAGGAGAACAGCGGUGGUUCCUGUGAAGGUUUGGGAGCCGGGACUCCCAAGUUUGAUGCACCUGCCGGAGACUUGAGAAUACAUCUUGCCCUGCAAGGAACAGGUUUGCUUGAGAGCAUCUCCGUGACCAUGGGGCAGUGGCUGUGAAGAAGUUGCAUGUUUUUGCUGGAGCAGGAAGGACAUAAGU